UUGACACUGAACAUUGAGCCUUGAUGUGUAGGAUAGGUGGGAGGCUUUGAAGCGUGGACGCCAGUCUGCGUGGAGCCGACCUUGAAAUACCACCCUUUAAUGUUUGAUGUUCUAACGUGGACCCGUGAUCCGGGUUGCGGACAGUGUCUGGUGGGUAGUUUGACUGGGGCGGUCUCCUCCUAAAGAGUAACGGAGGAGCACGAAGGUUGGCUAAUCCUGGUCGGACAUCAGGAGGUUAGUGCAAUGGCAUAAGCCAGCUUGACUGCGAGCGUGACGGCGCGAGCAGGUGCGAAAGCAGGUCAUAGUGAUCCGGUGGUUCUGAAUGGAAGGGCCAUCGCUCAACGGAUAAAAGGUACUCCGGGGAUAACAGGCUGAUACCGCCCAAGAGUUCAUAUCGACGGCGGUGUUUGGCACCUCGAUGUCGGCUCAUCACAUCCUGGGGCUGAAGUAGGUCCCAAGGGUAUGGCUGUUCGCCAUUUAAAGUGGUACGCGAGCUGGGUUUAGAACGUCGUGAGACAGUUCGGUCCCUAUCUGCCGUGGGCGCUGGAGAACUGAGGGGGGCUGCUCCUAGUACGAGAGGACCGGAGUGGACGCAUCACUGGUGUUCGGGUUGUCAUGCCAAUGGCACUGCCCGGUAGCUAAAUGCGGAAGAGAUAAGUGCUGAAAGCAUCUAAGCACGAAACUUGCCCCGAG
rnacentral:rRNA from 1 species